ACAUCCAAUGGAAAGUGGAGCUCAUAUAGCUAAGCUAACCUUAUCCCGUGUUUGGAAGAAACAACAGGGUUUGACUUGUACUAAAAAUCUGGCAGAGUUUGCCCUAUAAAUAUCACAUUUCUUGAUUAUCCACGAUCAUGAAAACACUCCCAAAUUCACAAUCCUUAACGACAGGACUGACCUUGGACCAAGACGAAUAGGGCAACAGUCCAGGAACAACAAGCCAGUGACCCAAACUUUUUAUAUUACCCAUAUACCUAUAGAAA
rnacentral:lncRNA from 1 species